CAACUCCAGUCUCGCUGCCAUCCAAGGGCCAGGUCACUGAGCAGACAACUGUAAAAUGGUCUAUUCAACAUUCUCAUAAUAUGUGGUGGCAUUACUAUUUAAGUCUGGAAAGCAGCUAUAACAGAUAUUAUUACUCCUCUAAGAGUCAUUAUUUUGUUGUUAUACAAAAGUUUAAAUUUUUUCCGUAAAUAUCUGCAAAGACUUAAGCGUUAAGUUUCCUCUAAAUCAGGUGGCAUGCUGUCCCAUAUCAUAGCACCUCUAUAAAGUCGAACCUCUCCACAAUGACUACCUUGAGGACAGAGGAAAGUGACCCGUUAUAGAGAGGUGUCCAUUAUGGGGCUAGUAGAAUUGUUUCAUUUGGCCAAUUAUAAAGAGCCUGGUAAAUGGUGCAGUUUUCAAGGUAUUGGUGUACGGGUGUACGGACGGACGUAGGUAUGGACAGUCACAUGACAACCAAAAUUUUUCAGAUGGAUG